AGUUUUUACAUAUUUUUGUUUAUAUUUAUUUUACUAAAUAAUUACUAAUAGAUAAAGAAGUAUGCGAAGAAUUUAAUAUCCCAACUACAGAGUACUCCAAAGAAUAUUCUGUAUCUCAAUGAUAUCCUGACCUAUCGAAUCGAUAUCCUGGUAAUCCACUCACACACAUAAAUCUU